rnacentral:rRNA from 2 species
AUGCAGUCGAGCGAUGGAUUAAGAGCUUGCUCUUAUGAAGUUAGCGGCGGACGGGUGAGUAACACGUGGGUAACCUGCCCAUAAGACUGGGAUAACUCCGGGAAACCGGGGCUAAUACCGGAUAACAUUUUGAACCGCAUGGUUCGAAAUUGAAAGGCGGCUUCGGCUGUCACUUAUGGAUGGACCCGCGUCGCAUUAGCUAGUUGGUGAGGUAACGGCUCACCAAGGCAACGAUGCGUAGCCGACCUGAGAGGGUGAUCGGCCACACUGGGACUGAGACACGGCCCAGACUCCUACGGGAGGCAGCAGUAGGGAAUCUUCCGCAAUGGACGAAAGUCUGACGGAGCAACGCCGCGUGAGUGAUGAAGGCUUUCGGGUCGUAAAACUCUGUUGUUAGGGAAGAACAAGUGCUAGUUGAAUAAGCUGGCACCUUGACGGUACCUAACCAGAAAGCCACGGCUAACUACGUGCCAGCAGCCGCGGUAAUACGUAGGUGGCAAGCGUUAUCCGGAAUUAUUGGGCGUAAAGCGCGCGCAGGUGGUUUCUUAAGUCUGAUGUGAAAGCCCACGGCUCAACCGUGGAGGGUCAUUGGAAACUGGGAGACUUGAGUGCAGAAGAGGAAAGUGGAAUUCCAUGUGUAGCGGUGAAAUGCGUAGAGAUAUGGAGGAACACCAGUGGCGAAGGCGACUUUCUGGUCUGUAACUGACACUGAGGCGCGAAAGCGUGGGGAG